GACGAACGCUGGCGGCGUGCUUAACACAUGCAAGUCGAACGGAAAGGCCCUGCUUUUGUGGGGUGCUCGAGUGGCGAACGGGUGGGUAACACGUGAGUAACCUGCCCUUGACUUUGGGAUAACUUCAGGAAACUGGGGCUAAUACCGGAUAGGAGCUCCUGCUGCAUGGUGGGGGUUGGAAAGUUUCGGCGGUUGGGGAUGGACUCGCGGCUUAUCAGCUUGUUGGUGGGGUAGUGGCUUACCAAGGCUUUGACGGGUUGCCGGCCUGAGAGGGUGACCGGCCACAUUGGGACUGAGAUACGGCCCAGACUCCUACGGGAGGCAGCAGUGGGGAAUAUUGCACAAUGGGCGGAAGCCUGAUGCAGCAACGCCGCGUGCGGGAUGACGGCCUUCGGGUUGUAAACCGCUUUCGCCUGUGACGAAGCGUGAGUGACGGUAAUGGGUAAAGAAGCACCGGCUAACUACGUG
rnacentral:rRNA from 1 species